UGACCACCAGGCUUUCUUUUACAAUCCAAAAUGGGAGUGGUAAAAGAGAAGGUCAACUGAGUGCUAAUGACCGGUUUCCAAUACCCUAGUGGAUAAACCCAGGCCCGUGAGCAUGUGGGCAGCAUGAACUGGAUGCAGUGGGUUAAAUAAGCAAAUAAGUGAAUAACUACAAAAGAGAGCAUGAAGUUGAAUGGAAGAUGGGAUCCUGAAGGGACCUGGAAUGAAGUGUAUCAACCACCCCUCAUCAAAGAAGCCUCUCUUCACAAAAAAUGGUGUUCCUCACAGAAAACCACAACUGGACACAGCACAGAUAGCAAUGGAUUAUGGGGAACCCAGCCCCACUGGAUACAUCUAUAUCACAGCUCCUGCAUCUAUGGCUCAGGGAACAUUGAGGAAGAAGAGACAGAAAGAUUAUAAGAAUCAGAAAACCAGGAAGUCUGCAGUGAAACAGUCUCUCCUAGAAAUGGCCUCAUAAACAAGACCAGAAAACUAGCAACACUGAUGGAUAUAUUAACAUGGAAUGGGGUGAUUUUAAAGGGAUCUCUCCCCUCACAAGAGCUACAGGCAACAAAUGCCUGCUGGAAAAAUGAAUUAGUGUCUCCCAGAGAUGAGCGCUUUUACUGGUUGUACAAUGCCCAGUGGGUAGCCCUGAAACUAUGUACACACAAACAACAAAAACAGAUUCAGCAGGUUAUAUUUAUAUAUUUGUGCACACAAAUACAUACAUAUGUAUGUAUAUGUGUCUAACAAUAAUAAUCAAAGAAAAGGAGACCAUCGACUUGAAAGUGAGAGGACAUGGGAGGGGCUGGAGGGGCAGAGGG